rnacentral:rRNA from 1 species
GGAACUGCAUUGGUGACUGGCGGGCUAGAGUAUGGCAGAGGGGGGUAGAAUUCCACGUGUAGCAGUGAAAUGCGUAGAGAUGUGGAGGAAUACCGAUGGCGAAGGCAGCCCCCUGGGCCAAUACUGACGCUCAUGCACGAAAGCGUGGGGAGCAAACAGGAUUAGAUACCCUGGUAGUCCACGCCCUAAACGAUGUCAACUAGUUGUCGGGUCUUCAUUGACUUGGUAACGAAGCUAACGCGUGAAGUUGACCGCCUGGGGAGUACGGUCGCAAGAUUAAAACUCAAAGGAAUUGACGGGGACCCGCACAAGCGGUGGAUGAUGUGGAUUAAUUCGAUGCAACGCGAAAAACCUUACCUACCCUUGACAUGUACGGAACCCUGCUGAGAGGUGGGGGUGCCCGAAAGGGA